rnacentral:rRNA from 1 species
UACGGAGGGGGCUAGCGUUGUUCGGAAUUACUGGGCGUAAAGCGCGCGUAGGCGGCUUUGUAAGUUAGAGGUGAAAGCCCGGAGCUCAACUCCGGAACUGCCUUUAAGACUGUAUCGCUAGAACGUCGGAGAGGUAAGUGGAAUUCCGAGUGUAGAGGUGAAAUUCGUAGAUAUUCGGAAGAACACCAGUGGCGAAGGCGGCUUACUGGUCCGGUUCUGACGCUGAGGCGCGAAAGCGUGGGGAGCAAACAGG